UUAAUAUUGUAUUGGAUGAUUAUUACUCUAAGCUCUAACCAUAUUAACAAGAAAAAUUCUUUCUAAUGCCCUUUUCAUGAUGCCUCUUUUCAACUUUACCCUUUUGUUUUAUCCAUUUUUAUUUCUAUCCUUUUCAACUUUACCCUUUUGUUUUAUCCAUUUUUAUUUCUAUCCUCUUUAAAUUUUUAAUGACCAUUUUACCCUUAUUUGGAAAUUGUUUUAAGUUAACAAAAUGAAAUAUUAAUAUUUUUUCGCCUAAAAUAUUCCAAAAUAAAUUUUCCGUCAAAAAUUUUCGGAAAAAAAUUUCCCGCCAAAACUUUUCGAAAAAAAAAUUCCCGCCAAAUUUUGUUUUCAAAAAUAUUUUUCCCGCCAAUUUUUUU
rnacentral:sRNA from 1 species